AUUGAACGCUGGCGGCGUGCCUAACACAUGCAAGUCGGGCGAGCGGCAGACGGGUGAGAAAUGUGUAGGGAUCUGCCUUAUGGAGGGGGAUAACUACUGGAAACGGUAGCUAAUACCGCAUACCCUCCGAUGAACCCAUAUGGGAUGAGCUUGUAGGUAAGGUAACGGCUUACCGAGGCGACGAUCCCUAGCUGGUCUGAGAGGAUGAUCAGCCACACGUGGACUGAGACACGGCCCAGACUCCUACGUGAGGCAGCAGUGGGGAAUAUUGCACAAUGGGCGCAAGCCUGAUGCAGCCAUGCCGCGUGUAUGAAGAAGGCCUUCGGGUUGUAAAGUACUUUCAGUCGGGAGGCGUUACCGACAGAAGAAGCCCCGGCUAACUCCGUGCCAGCAGCCGCGGUAAUAC
rnacentral:rRNA from 1 species